rnacentral:rRNA from 1 species
GCCUACGGGGGGCAGCAGUGGGGGAUAUUGCACAAUGGGGGAAACCCUGAUGCAGCGACGCCGCGUGGGCGAAGAAGUAUUUCGGUAUGUAAAGCCCUAUCAGCAGGGAAGAAGAAAUGACGGUACCUGAGUAAGAAGCACCGGCUAAAUACGUGCCAGCAGCCGCGGUAAUACGUAUGGUGCAAGCGUUAUCCGGAUUUACUGGGUGUAAAGGGAGCGCAGGCGGCACGGCAAGCCUGAUGUGAAAGCCCGCGGCCCAACCGCGGGACUGCAUUGGGAACUACCGGUCUGGAGGGCCGGCGUGG